rnacentral:rRNA from 1 species
GUGGGGAAUCUUGCGCAAUGGGCGAAAGCCUGACGCAGCCAUGCCGCGUGAAUGAUGAAGGUCUUAGGAUUGUAAAAUUCUUUCACCGGGGACGAUAAUGACGGUACCCGGAGAAGAAGCUCCGGCUAACUUCGUGCCAGCAGCCGCGGUAAUACGAAGGGGGCUAGCGUUGCUCGGAAUUACUGGGAGUAAAGGGCGCGUAGGCUGACAGCUUAGUCAGAGGUGAAAGCCCAGGGGUCAACCUUGGAAUUGCCUUGGAUACUGGCUGUCUUGAGUUUGGGAGAGGUGAGUGGAACUCCGAGUGUAGAGGUGAAAUUCGUAGAUAUUCGGAAGAACACCAGUGGCGAAGGCGACUCACUGGCCCAAUACUGACGCUGAGGCGCGAAAGCGUGGGGAGCAAACAGGAUUAGAUACCCGUGUAGUCC